AGAUGAUGAAGAUGAUGAAGGUGAUGAAGGUGGUGUCUGAUGGACUGGGCGUAGAUGAUGAAGGUGAUGAAGGUGGUGUUUGUUGGACUGGGCGUAGAUGAUGAAGAUGAUGAAGGUGGUGUUUGUUGGACUGGGCGUAGAUGAUGAAGAUGAUGAAGGUGGUGUCUGAUGGACUGGGCGUAGAUGAUGAAGGUGAUGAGGAUGAUGAAGGUGGUGUUUGUUGGAGGACUGGGCGUAGAUGAUGAAGAUGAUGAAGGUGAUGAAGGUGGUGUCUGAUGGACUGGGCGUAGAUGAUGAAGGUGAUGAAGGUGGUGUCUGAUGGACUGGGCGUAGCAGUGACGGAGCUCGGACCUGAAGGUGUCUCCUGAGAUCCGCCUUGGCGUGCGGCGGCUCCAGCGAGGGCACAAAUGGAUUGUGGGUCAUCUGCUGGCGUCCAUUAUCCACUCAGAGCACCUCGGCGAGGAGCCGCUCGCUGCUCUCUGAUUGGAUGAUUCCCCCAUCAGGCUCGUGUAGGAGACUGGUCGCCGUGGUAACAGGCGAUGUCCUUCAACGCCGCAGCGCGUUUACAGCGUCCACAGGGAGCGCCGAGGUUAGCCCCGCCCACCCAGGACGUACAUUAGCUGUAAUGCAGCGCUCCUCAUCACCGCGGGGACGUCCCAGCGCCGUUUGCAGAGCGCGGCACAUUUUUCAACCUCCACCUCCGUCAGCACCAACAGGGAGCGGGUCAGGUCCGAGGUGACGGAGACGAGAGUGUCCAGGUUCAAAUCAUCAGGAGGCCGGCGCUCGUUUCCAUGACGACACAA